rnacentral:tRNA from 1 species
GGAUCUCUAGCUUAAUUGGGGUCGUCAGUCGCAGUGUCCUAGGUUUGCGAUACGCGACUCCCUGGGUAAAGCGCCUGUCGAAAGAAGGCAGGAGAUGACAGUUCGAUCCUGUCGAGACCCA